AAGAGAUUUUGAAAUUUGUCACAUUAUUCACCUAUAUCAAUACGAGCCCUUUCCCAACAAUAACGAGGAACUGUUAGUCGUUAGAACCUCUUCUAUCACGUCAGCGGUGCCAUCGACAUCGCCGUAGUCACUUUACACCAGUUUUCAAAAUUACGCGAUUCAAAUGCCAGUUUUAUGUCAAAAUUACGCGCUUCAAAUGCCAGUUUUAUGUUAUGCAAACAGAAGACAUUUUAAACCGUAUUUAAUACCUAAAGAAGAAUAUUGAACCAACAUGAGCUAGAUAUAUUUAAACUAAAAGAAAUUAAACAACAGAAAGUCGUGUCGUGAAUGACUUUUAAAGUUUGAAAAAGAACAAUUUAACACCGAAUUUGUAUAGGUAAUCACACGGGAAGGAGUGCAAUUAAUGAUUAACACUACGAGUGAUAUUUGAAAAAUGUGCCAAAAUUGCACGAGCCGCCGAGGCGAGUUAUUUAUUUAUUAUAUGCAUGACAAAAUCGCUUUC